rnacentral:rRNA from 1 species
UACGUAGGGUGCAAGCGUUAAUCGGAAUUACUGGGCGUAAAGCGUGCGCAGGCGGCUUUGCAAGACAGAUGUGAAAUCCCCGGGCUUAACCUGGGAACUGCAUUUGUGACUGCAUGGCUAGAGUGCGGCAGAGGGGGAUGGAAUUCCAGGUGUAGCGGUGAAAUGCGUAGAUAUCUGGAGGAACACCGGUGGCGAAGGCGGCAUCCUGGACCAAUACUGACACUGAGGAGCGAAAGCCAGGGGAGCAAACGGG